AUAAUUUACUUGACCUUGACUUCUUACUUGGAUAACUGUGGUAAUUCUAGAGCUAAUACAUGCACCAAAGCUCCAAUCUCCCCAGAGCGGAGCGCAUUUGUUCGCCACAAAACCAAGCGCCCUCCGGGCGUCCAGUGUUGACUCAGAACAACUAAGCUGAUCGCACGGUCUUGUACCGGCGACGUGUCUUUCAAGUGUCUGCCUUAUCAACUUUCGAUGGUAGUGUAUCUGACUACCAUGGUGAUGACGGGUAACGGAGGAUAAGGGUUCGACUCCGGAGAAGGGGCCUGAGAAAUGGCCACUACGUCUAAGGAUGGCAGCAGGCGCGCAAAUUACCCACUCUCAACGCGAGGAGGUAGUGACGAGAAAUAACGAGACCGAUCUCUUAUGAGGCCGGUCAUCGGAAUGGGUACAAUUUAAACCCUUUAACGAGUAUCUAUGAGAGGGCAAGUCUGGUGCCAGCAGCCGCGGUAAUUCCAGCUCUCAAAAUGCAUAGAAUUAUUGCUGCGGUUAAAAAGCUCGUAGUUGGAUCUGUGCUAGCCGUCCGGUGCACACUUUGUGUGUUACUGGUUCGGUUGGCUUUUCUGCCGGUCUCUCCCCGGCGUUGGCCUUUACCGGUCGGCGUCGGUGGGCUGGCGAGUUUACUUUGAACAAAUCAGAGUGCUUCAAACAGGCGUUUCGCUUGAAUGUUCGUGCAUGGAAUAAUAGAAGAGGAUUUCGGUCCGAUUUUAUUGGUUUUGCUGACCGAGAUAAUGGUUAACAGAGACAAACGGGGCCAUUCGUAUUGCUACGUGAGAGGUGAAAUUCUUGGACCGUAGCAAGACGGACUACAGCGAAAGCAUUUGGCAAGAAUGUCUUCA
rnacentral:rRNA from 1 species